CUUUUGUAGGGCUGCUGCCCAGUAGCUGUGCCCAGUUCACUGACCUCGGUGGAAGUUCUGGAGUCCUCCAUGAAUUCAGGAAAGAAGUCUACGUGUCAAAAUCCCCUUUGGGCCUAUUUUUAAGCAUCUAGAUAUAUCUGAGAGCAGCUCCAGGAUUUGUAUGACUACAGUGCUCCUCAAGACUCAACUCCAAUGUGACUUAAAGGGAUGAAUUUUGCCCAGGAGAUUUUCUACAUGACCUUGGAAAAGUUGRAUGGGGCUGACUCUGCCCUGGAAGUCAAUGGGCUGUAUUUUACAAAGAGAGGAGAAUUAAGACUGCAUCAUUCCUGUACCUCUUGUCUCUUCACCUGUAAAAUGAAUUUAACGAUGCACUCCUACCCCCUCUGGGUGCGGCAAAGCUAAAUCACCUGGUGUUAGCAAAGAUUCUGGUAUCUAAAAAUGCUGCUGCUUCUCUUUGAAUCUCUGCUGAGAUUCCCAAGAGCAAGUGCUUUGCUUUGGAGGUGAGUUACCCACCAGAGGGCAACAUCACUCUCACACAUAAAAAUGAUGCAUACGCUACUUGAUCCAAAACUUACCAAAAGCAAGGGGAAUCUUUCCUUUGGCUUUUAUAGCACUGCAUAAAUGCAUUUUUUUACUAUAUUUCAAUAUUAGCCUUGAAAUGAAAU
rnacentral:lncRNA from 1 species